UACGUAGGGUGCAAGCGUUAAUCGGAAUUACUGGGCGUAAAGCGUGCGCAGGCGGUUAUGUAAGACAGGUGUGAAAUCCCCGGGCUUAACCUGGGAACUGCAUUUGUGACUGCAUAGCUAGAGUACGGUAGAGGGGGAUGGAAUUCCGCGUGUAGCAGUGAAAUGCGUAGAUAUGCGGAGGAACACCGAUGGCGAAGGCAAUCCCCUGGACCUGUACUGACGCUCAUGCACGAAAGGCGUGGGGAGCAAACGAGG
rnacentral:rRNA from 1 species